rnacentral:rRNA from 1 species
UACGUAGGGGGCAAGCGUUGUCCGGAAUUAUUGGGCGUAAAGAGCGUGUAGGCGGUAGAUUAAGUUGGAUGUAAAAGGCAACGGCUCAACCGUUGUAAGCAUCCAAAACUGGUAUACUUGAGUGCAGGAGAGGAAAGUGGAAUUCCCGGUGUAGCGGUGGAAUGCGUAGAGAUCGGGAGGAACACCAGUGGCGAAGGCGACUUUCUGGCCUGCAACUGACGCUGAGACGCGAAAGCGUGGGUAGCAAACAGG